ensembl:lncRNA
CUCUCUUUCUUUCCUCCAGCUUUAUCCCUGGCACUCCCACUCCCAUUAGUUUUCACAGAAUUCUGUUUUGUUUGCCUCUCAAUUUUCCAUUCUCUCUUUUUUUUUUUGUUCUCAUUUCUAAGUCUCUAUUCCCACCCUUAUUUUAGGUCUCAACUAUAUUAUUAGCCCAGUGCUGCCUAUUCAGAUUUAUAUUUUGUAUAAAAGACAGAAGGAUUUGAAUGGAAGUGCGUGGUCUUUCUCUCAUGGCAACAUGUUCAUGGAUAGUACUGUAGACUAUCAGCUGUUCUGUAUACAAGAAUAUAUCAUCAGGUGGCAACUGCCAAGUCUACAGGCUACUUAAUGUGAUCUCUUUUGUAAGGAUAUCAGUAAUAUGUCUGUUUGAGACUUGGAGAAAAGAAGGACCAACUGUUUGUUAGUGGAAGUGAUAUGUCCUGCAAAUAAAAG